GAAGGAUGCUCAGAGGUAGGCAGAGUGGUACCCGGGAUGCGGAGAGGGAUGCAGAGAAGGAGGAAGGAGGCAGAGUGGUACCCGGGAUGCGGAGAGGGGUGCAGAGAAGGAGGAAGGAUACUCUGAGGUAGGCAGAGUGGUACCCGGGAUGCGGAGAGGGAUGCAGAGAAGGAGGAAGGAGGCAGAGUGGUACCCGGGAUGCGGAGAGGGGUGCAGAGAAGGAGGAAGGAUACUCUGUGGUACCCGGGAUACGGAGAGGGAUGCAGAGAAGGAGGAAGGAUGCUCAGAUCCAAAUUGAUACCCAGGAUGUUGAAAGGGAUGCAGGGAAGGAUG